GGUGAUAGCUCAGUCAUAGAGCAUCUGCUUUGCAUGCAGAAGGUCCUAGGUUCAAUCCCUGACAUCUCCA